rnacentral:lncRNA from 1 species
UUGAGUGAGCCACGACUACAUCUCAUGUUCAUAGUUAUCCCUACUGCAAAUUCAAGAAUCCAGCCCCCUUGAUCUUUUCACUUGCUAUUUAAAGAGCAACCAGGGGGGAGAAAGAAAGCAGGAGCCAACCCAGUAAUCCUUGCUUCGACCAUCAACCAUAGUGAGUAGCUUCAAUUAGCAGUAUUGCUUCCCCAAACCAUACCCUGGACGUGCCCAGUUCCACUGAUCAAGCCACCGCGUGUGUCUGGUGACCACCUCGCCAACACAUCAACCUCACGUGGCCAGGCGGUUACGGUAUGGCUCCACCCUUACGAAUUUGUGUUCUUGCAUCUCUAUAGAUUGGUGAAGCUCAUCAAGAAGCUCGUUUGAUCUUUGUGGUCCUAAUUUGGUCGGAACAUGAGUUUGACGCUGCGUGAACUGCCGUGGUGUUGACCCACUCAAAAUUCAGUUGGUCCGAGGACAAUUCUUGUGAGCGUCGUGUUGCCCAUGUCUCGCUUGUGCUCCCCGUGCCCUUAAUUUGAUUUGUCCGGUACUCAAAUCAGCCGGGUAGGUACCGCGGAGCUAGGAUUCCACCGUGGGCGCGGUCCGGCCCCUCUGUGAGUUUGUGAGCCAAAUCCAUGCCCAUAGCUGCUCGAAUUAGGUUAAGAUUUGAUUCUGGUCGCUAUCCAAUGACUGCCCAGGCUCUCCUCCGUCGUAGUGUCGCGGGAAGAACUCGUCUGCGCCGCCGGACGAUGUCAGGGACUCAAUUUUGAAAGACAAGGAGCUUAGAAGGGGCUGGAAGUAAAGUGUCAGUGACUCACGGAAUUUGGUUGAAGACUUCAUUUCUAAUAUUGGCUCUAGCGAGGACCUUUGUGAAAAAGCUACUGCGCUGCCGCGGGCGCCCCCCAAAUUCCGCCUAGACCUGGGCUGGUUGGGCCAGUUUUGGCCCAACACUAUUAGUAGUUUUUCGUUUUCUUUUUCCGAGAAGCUUUAGAAAUCCGUAAGAAACUCUAGAAAAAUGCUAAAAAUAUGAGGCCAAUUUUAUUAGGCUCCUAAAUUUCUAUAGUAUUUAAUAAAAAUAGUCUUAGGAUUUUUAGUCCAAACAAGGAAUUAUCUAGUGUUUAAACAGGCUUAAACCUAUACCUCUGGAAUUUUAGAAAUUAUUUAGUAACUCCAAAAAUCACCAAACUUUUUGGAUAAGCUUUAAAUGAUAUUUAGAAACCUUGGGUGAUGUUAGAUAUGAUUUGGACAGUGUUUUAUACUUAAACCCCAAAACCCUAAACUUCUAAGUAGUGUCUGCGCUAUGAACUAAAAUACUGACUCCACAAACCCUAGUGAAGGAAAAUUGUAUUUAAGAAACUAAUAUGAUGUACUUUUAUUAUUGCAUUUUCAUAAGCAUUACAUGAGCAUUCAUGAUUAUAUAUGGUUCUAUAUAGAAAACGAAGAAGAAGUAGAGGUUGAAGAAGGAAGAGCUACACCACCACUUGAAGACCACCUGUCGGGAACUGCUUUUAUUUUGAUAUUUGUGGAGCAGAGCCCGACUCUCCUAUAACACAAGGCAAGCCCCAGUGCAUUUGCCACCUCCUUGCUAUUUUAAAAUCUUUCUCACUUGCUUGAUGCAUUAGGUGAUAGGAGUUGUGUGCUAAACAAAUUGAUGCAUUUCCUUUCUUGGAAGAUUGACUACUUUUCCUUCAUCACCUAUUUUAUGAAAAGGUUUUUCUGGUGCUUAGUCUUGCUCUAGAAAAACAAAAUGUUUUGUUUUCAACAAAAGAUGAUGCUUCAAGUGGGAUGGGAUGAUUUUCAAAAAAAAUAAAACUUGAUGGUGGAUCCAUCAUGGCCAUGAUGGGUUCAACAUCGGAAAAGAUGUACCUCUGUUAGGUAUCAACUUUGGGUUGAAAUGAUAAAGCCAAGACCGGGCGGGUGACUUGCACGAGAAGAGAGUCUCGGUGUAGUGUCUCCGUCUGAGUCGAUUAAGGACCGUCUCAAUGUAGGCUUGAUGAUCGAGGACCUUUUAACUGGUCACAUGCCUCAUCAUGGGUAAGCUUUGCCUCAGACAGACUAAUACCAGAAUAAGAUAACACGCAAUGGGAGUGGAAAGAUGGCGAGAGUAGCGUGUACCCUCCGUGGCAAGAGACUGGACGAUGGUGUAUCUGUGCUCUCGGUUGGCGUGAACCUGAUCUGGUCUUAAGAACCCCUGUGGCGAGUUGACAUAUGCAAGGGUUAAGUGCUACAUAUGUCGUGUGAUUUGAGAUCCCCAGCUGGGUAUUAAUCGAUUCAGAUCGUCGUUACUUCUCGGACAUGAAGACUUGGUCACUGACUUACACGUAGCAUUCCAGUGAACAAGAAGGGUUGAUAAAAAGAUGGCUAGUUUAGACCAAGUGCUUGAACUAGGGUAGAAAGAACUCUAGAUUCAGGUAAUGACUUAACUUGCUAAUAAAACUGGAUUUUUUUAAGGAUCCACUAUUAGUAAGCAUUUUUGCAAACAGAGUCUUGAUUCUUGAUUAAGCCUUACCUUGAAUCCCUCAAGCCAGCAUAUCCUUGAGAGUCUUUUAUUUUGACGGGUAAGACUUGCGAAAGUACACUUCGUACUCAGGGUUUUCAAACCCAUGUUGUUGUAGGUGAGGAAGCAGCAAACUUUUGUUGCUUCUGCUCUAAGGUGGUGCCGAAAGAAGAAGCUCAAGAGUGAAGCCUCGGGAGGAUGUCGUCCUCCCUUUAAAAACACUGUACUAUUAAGCGGGAGGGGUUUUUACCUCCCGGGUUUGUAAUAAUAUUACUCUUGCACUCCUAUAUUACUG